AAAAUUGCAAAAGUUCCAGGACAUGAAGGCUCCAUACUGUGAACGUCAACCUUCAGGGCACCGUCCUGCGCAGAAGACUUUAUGCCCCGAGAGGGAUGGCUGACAGCAGACACUCACAACCAGCACAGACGCCUCCAACCUCAGACUAGGCCCUUCACAGUUGCUGCACUUACCCACCUUCCCCGAGUUUUUGUGUGGUAAUGACAACUGUAAAUAUAGCAUAACGUAAUGCACCGGUAUCUAGUGUCAUGUGUAAUACAUUGUUUAAAUUGUCCAUACAUUUCAAUGACUGUAAAUAUUGGUGGACACAAUUUGACUGUGUGGCUUUUUUUAUUCAUUCUCUGACUGAAAAUGCAUGGUUACAUAAUUUAUAUAUUCCACAAGACCACAAUCAGAAGAUUAUUUGACAGGUUGCAUUUAUUUUCUAUGUAUAAAAAAAACAAAGGUAACAAGACAAACAUGGUUCCAAACCAAAAAGGUGAGAUGUAUAAAUGUACAGAUUAAUUCUCCUACAGAUAAUGAAAAAUAAUAAAACUCUGCACACUGCUGGUUUGUG